rnacentral:rRNA from 1 species
UUGAAGAGUUUGAUCAUGGCUCAGAUUGAACGCUGGCGGCAGGCCUAACACAUGCAAGUCGAACGGUAACAGGAAGCAGCUUGCUGCUUUGCUGACGAGUGGCGGACGGGUGAGUAAUGUCUGGGAAACUGCCUGAUGGAGGGGGAUAACUACUGGAAACGGUGGCUAAUACCGCAUAACGUCGCAAGACCAAAGAGGGGGACCUUCGGGCCUCUUGCCAUCAGAUGUGCCCAGAUGGGAUUAGCUUGUUGGUGAGGUAACGGCUCACCAAGGCGACGAUCCCUAGCUGGUCUGAGAGGAUGACCAGCCACACUGGAACUGAGACACGGUCCAGACUCCUACGGGAGGCAGCAGUGGGGAAUAUUGCACAAUGGGCGCAAGCCUGAUGCAGCCAUGCCGCGUGUAUGAAGAAGGCCUUCGGGUUGUAAAGUACUUUCAGCGGGGAGGAAGGUGUUGUGGUUAAUAACCACAGCAAUUGACGUUACCCGCAGAAGAAGCACCGGCUAACUCCGUGCCAGCAGCCGCGGUAAUACGGAGGGUGCAAGCGUUAAUCGGAAUUACUGGGCGUAAAGCGCACGCAGGCGGUCUGUCAAGUCGGAUGUGAAAUCCCCGGGCUCAACCUGGGAACUGCAUUCGAAACUGGCAGGCUUGAGUCUUGUAGAGGGGGGUAGAAUUCCAGGUGUAGCGGUGAAAUGCGUAGAGAUCUGGAGGAAUACCGGUGGCGAAGGCGGCCCCCUGGACAAAGACUGACGCUCAGGUGCGAAAGCGUGGGGAGCAAACAGGAUUAGAUACCCUGGUAGUCCACGCCGUAAACGAUGUCUACUUGGAGGUUGUGCCCUUGAGGCGUGGCUUCCGGAGCUAACGCGUUAAGUAGACCGCCUGGGGAGUACGGCCGCAAGGUUAAAACUCAAAUGAAUUGACGGGGGCCCGCACAAGCGGUGGAGCAUGUGGUUUAAUUCGAUGCAACGCGAAGAACCUUACCUGGUCUUGACAUCCACGGAAGUUUUCAGAGAUGAGAAUGUGCCUUCGGGAACCGUGAGACAGGUGCUGCAUGGCUGUCGUCAGCUCGUGUUGUGAAAUGUUGGGUUAAGUCCCGCAACGAGCGCAACCCUUAUCCUUUGUUGCCAGCGGUCCGGCCGGGAACUCAAAGGAGACUGCCAGUGAUAAACUGGAGGAAGGUGGGGAUGACGUCAAGUCAUCAUGGCCCUUACGACCAGGGCUACACACGUGCUACAAUGGCGCAUACAAAGAGAAGCGACCUCGCGAGAGCAAGCGGACCUCAUAAAGUGCGUCGUAGUCCGGAUUGGAGUCUGCAACUCGACUCCAUGAAGUCGGAAUCGCUAGUAAUCGUGGAUCAGAAUGCCACGGUGAAUACGUUCCCGGGCCUUGUACACACCGCCCGUCACACCAUGGGAGUGGGUUGCAAAAGAAGUAGGUAGCUUAACCUUCGGGAGGGCGCUUACCACUUUGUGAUUCAUGACUGGGGUGAAGUCGUAACAAGGUAACCGUAGGGGAACCUGCGGUUGGAUCACCUCCUU